UCUGACCGUGCAAAGGUAGCGUAAUCACUUGUUCUUUAAAUGAGGACUAGUAUGAACGGCAUCACGAGGGUUAUGCUGUCUCCCCGACCCAUUCAGUGAAACUGAUCUCCCCGUGAAGAAGCGGGGAUAAAAAUAUAAGACGAGAAGACCCCAUGGAGCUUUAAACUCAGAAUCAACUGCCACACAAAAUAACCUAAUAUUCAUGCAACCCUGAUUUCUAGUUUUCGGUUGGGGUGACCACGGAGUAAAAACUAACCUCCACGGCGAAAGGAAAUAACAACCUAAACCAAGAGCCACAGCUCUAAGUAUUAACAAAUUAACUAACUGAUCCAAUUGCUUGAUCAACGAACCAAGUUACCCUGGGGAUAACAGCGCAAUCCAUUUCAAGAGCUCAUAUCGACAAAUGGGUUUACGACCUCGAUGUUGGAUCAGGGUAUCCCAGUGGCGCAGCCGCUACUAACGGUUCGUUUGUUCAACGAUUAAAAUCUUACGUGAUCUGAGUUAGAACCGGAGAAG
rnacentral:rRNA from 1 species